GUUCUUUGUGGAAACGCUGUCCUGAAAAUAAAAGUCAGAUUAACAGAAGACAAACAACCAAACGUUUAUUAAUGCGUGCUCUGCCCAUCACAUGGGAGAGGCCUUAGUUUAAAAGUAUUUCUUUCUCAAGGUGGUGGCUUAGGGACCUUGCUUAAAUAGUAUUUUAACAAAGGGCCAUAAAUCCUAUAUAGUGACAAGACAAAGAAGAGAGCAGUUCCAGUCUUUGAAAAAGCGGGAAAAUGUGGGAAGAACAGGGGGACAUGGGCCAGCCCCACAGCAUCUACUACGGACUCAAAGGAACACCUCAUGAAGAUCUUUCUUUUUUAAAAGUCGUCAGUCCCACUUAUGGAGCACCUGUUGUAUACAAGCUCCAUGCCAGGUUUAAAAGUUCAAAAUGAAACAUAAGAGCUUCUGUCCUAAUAGAGCUGGCUGUCGUGGGUAGAUUGCCAGAGCAGCCCUGUAUAGGCAUCAUCUCUACAAACAUUGACAUCGAAAUUUCUAAGUUGUGUCUCCUCAGCCCAGCAGUUGUGGCUCCUCAUCACUAGGACCCAGACUCAACUCUGUCAUUACUCCUCCCUGUCCCCUGCCUCGAGUUCUCUGCUCUGGGAUUUUUGAACUGCUUGUAGGUCCUGGAAAAAAAAGUCCUUCUCUCUUUCCCUCUUCCCUCUAAACCUUUGCAUAUUCCAGUUCCUCUACCUUGUUGCCAGAAUAGUGCCCCAUCUUUCUUGAGUCUGGUUAAUAUCACCUCCUCUGGGAAGCCUUCUCUAACUCCCAUUCUCAUCACUAGUUCCCAGGUGAGCUUGGCCUUUGCACAGUUUCCUGUUCUUAUUCCUAUCAGAUUAAUCAUCACGCACACACAUGACUAUAAUUGCCUUUUUACUUACCUGCAAGCUUUCAGGAAAUCAAGGAUGAAUGAGUCACUUUCGAUGGCAUUAAAGUAAGGCCUGGGAAUGAAAGCUCAGCCUGAAUCUGAAACUCAGCUUAACUACUUCCUAAUUGUGGGGCUUAGGUUGAACUGUGUGCCUCAGUUUUUCUAUCUGUAGAAAUGGACCCAAUAAGACUUCCUUUACAGGGGCAUUUGUGGAGUUUCUUGGCCCCUACCCAAUAGAGCCACUAGAAAAGCAAGAAGAAACCUGAGAGCUGAGAAAGUCAUCACAAGUUUUAUAAUCCAGAAAAGGGAUGCAUCUGCCCGGGUCAGUUUGUAUGCAUUACAGAAAACUCAUGAACGCUGCCCAGAACACGGUGUGUGCAGGCACCAGAGUUAGGGUCGUAGCAAAGAGAUGGUACACACAGAGUAGCAAGGACUGAGUAAAUGGAGGGCCUGAUUACAGAGAAGAGUACAGGGUUAAGCAAAGCCAACAACGGAAAGGGAAGCACCGGGCUCACAACAGCUGAAAGUCCGACCUCCCCUAGGCCUUAAGGUCAAGACGAAGGGUGGCCAUUGGAACUCAAGUGAGGUGUAGUUGUAGGAGAGUGACUGUCCCAUUUGACACUGAAGAAUAGUCAUUUUACAUGGCUGACAUUUACCUUGUGCCAAUUAUGGCCAGGCAUUGUUCUAAGCAUGGUAACCCACAUCACCCUCAUUUAUGGAGUAAAACUGUUUGCCCCAUUUCACAGAUGGGAAGCCUGAGGCACAGAAAGAUUAAGUAAUUUUCUCUAGGUCUGAUGAUAGGGGAAGGGGAGUGGGGAUAGAUAACCAGACCUCCCAUCCUUAGACCCUCUGAUCUCAUGCCAGUUCGUCCCACUGGUAGAGCUCACUGGUAGAGGGUGGAGGGCGAGGAUGUGCACUCAGACAGUCCACAGUGUGGAGAAGGGUGGACAGUGGAAGGGGCCCUUGGUGAGUGGGAGCUGCUAUUUUUGCUGCAGCUGCUGCUGCUGUUGUCGUUGUUGGAUCAUCGAAGCCUGGGACAAUGCCUGGCUCCUACUGGGCAGGCGCAGGUAUUUUCCAAUUGAAUGAAUGAACCAUUGACCUAUUAACCACAAAUUAUAUCAACAUCACUUGGGCCCUGAAUAAUGUAUUUAUUGAAAAAUGAAAUUGAAAAUAUUAUCCUUUUAAGCUUCUGGUAAUGGAGGAAAUGGUUCAUUCCUAACAGUUUUAAUAAUAUUACAUAUUUGUUGACUCAGGGAACUCUUUUUGACAUUUAUUCAGGAUUUCCAGACUGCAUGGGAAGAAAAGCAAAAACAGUGUCAUCAGCGUUACAGGUAGAAAUAGAAAAAUAGAGUUUUCCUUUCAAAUUGAAGUGUUAGGCACUUGGAAAUAGCCUUUUACUUUAGAUGGAGAAUUUAACACUCUGCCUGCGACCCACCUAACCAGGGAUUUGUGGAAAACACGUGUUAUGCCCUGAGCACUGGGUCAGGAGUGAGACUGUGGUGGGUGGUGAGCAAAGGGCUUAGGACUGACCAAGGGUGUUGGAGGCCAGGCUGGCCGCAUACAAAUCAGGAAUAGGAACUGACGCUUACUGUGUGCUUUUAUGUGCCAGGCCUUCUCCUGAGAUAUGUAACCACCUUCUCGGGUGGAUACUGCCAUUAGACCCAUUUUGCAGAUAAGCAAACCGAGGCACUGGGAGAAGAAGUAAUUUGCUCAAGGCCACCCAGGUGGUAAGUGGAAGACCCCUAACUCUAGACACUGUCUCUUAACUGCUGUGCUUACUCCCUCUUUAUUAGAGAAUGGUAGAGGUGAGAUCUCAGCUUUACCCCUUUUAUUUUACAAAUGAGGCUCAGAGAGAGAUAUUGCAACUUGUCCAAGGUCACCCAGCCUUGUUAUUGGGAGAGUUCAAAUGGCCUUAGUGCCUGCUUCUAACUCUGAACCAUCCCGUCACCUUGGGCAGGUCACUUACCUUUUUUCAGUUUAUCUCCUCAUAUAUAAGAUGGGGCUAAUAAUUACGCCUUUAAAUACUUUUAAGAGAUUAGUGAUCAUUUCAGUCUUGACUCCACUUAGAUGUGAGCACCAGAUUUAUAUAUAUGUAUGCCUCAGGUCAACUUCAGGGUUUUAAACAACAGCAAUACUAGUGUCUUAGCCCAUUCUCAUGCUGCUAAUAAAGACAUAUCCAAGACUGGGUAAUUUAUAAAGGAAAGAGGUUUAAUUGACUCACAGUUUAGCAUGGCUUGGGAGGCCUCAGGAAACGUACAAUCAUGGGUGGAAGGGGAAGCAAACACAUCCUUCUUCACAUGAUGGCAGGAAGAAGUGCCAAGCAAAAGGGGGAAAAGCCCCUUAUAAAACCAUCAGAUCUCAUGAGAAUUCACUCAUUAUCACUAGAAUAGCAGCAUGGGGGUAACCGCUCCCAUGAUUCAGUUACCUCCCACCAGGUCCCUCCCGUGAUGUGGGAAUUAUGGAAACUACAAUUCAAGUUGAGAUUUGGGUGGGGACACAGUCAAACCAUAUCAAAUAGUAAGUAAUAAUAGCAUAUAGAGCACUGGCUGUGGUCAGGAGCGUUCAAAGCACAAUGGUUAACCCAUGUAAUUCAUUAUUUAUAAUCCAUAAUUCUCACCACACUCCUUCCAGAUUUACAGCUGAGGAAUCCAUUACAGAGAGGAGAGUGACCUGUCAGAUUACCAAAAAUAGUAAGUGAAUGCCCUUACCAAGAUUUGAACCUGACUAGUUUGAGUUGGAGCUCCAAAGCGCUAGCUAGACAAUUAACAAAUAUUGUCAAUGUUGUUUCAUUUUGUGCUGCAUGCAGUUUUUCUCCAGUAAUAGCUAUAGUCACAAAACAAAGGGAGACUCAUUUUUUUAUAAAAGCUGAAGCUGGAAGGGAUUGGUCUUUUUUGCAACCUCCUAACAGAGAUGGUGAUAAAUGCCAUCAGUUCCAUCUAACAGGAAGAGAGACCAGAAGCUGUGAGGUUCUUGGAAAGGAAUGGAAGGGCCCGGGAGACUCAGCCCCUGAAGUGAUGUUGGCAGUUACAUCAUAACAGAGAGAUGGGAGAUGUCUGCAGUGGCUGGAGAAGGACAAACCUGAAGACACUAGAAAGAGGAGUUGGGUCCAGAUACAGCUUCCUGAAAGAUCUCAGCAGACAAGAAGAAUGGAGCAAAUGCAGCAAUUCAGAGAACAGCAUCAAGUCCCACAUGAGCAGGAAACGCGGCCCUGAGGUGUCACGUCCUGCGUGGGUGAGUCUCUGUGGACGGCAGGUCCUGGAAGGGCCAGCAGUGAGGGGCAGGAUGUGUAUACAUUUUUUAUUAACAGCAUCGGUAGCAGAAUGGUGUCCAGCCAGUAGCAGCUCCUCUCCCCUGGUGUCACAAACCUCACUGCAGAGUCGUGCCCAUCAAAAUGGGCACUCCAAGGAGUGUUGUAUGUGAAAUGGAAUAUCCACAGACUAGCAUGUCUUUUUUUUUUUUAUUAUUAUACUUUAAGUUUUAGGGUACGU
rnacentral:lncRNA from 10 species